CAUAGCGACUAUCGUGGCAUAUCAAUAAGCGGAGGAAAAGAAACUAACUAGGAUUCCCUUAGUAACGGCGAGUGAAGCGGGAAGAGCUCAAAUUUGAAAUCUUCAAGGUUUUACCUUGACGAAUUGUAGUUUAAAGAAGUGUUUUCUGUUGGAGUUUUGGUAAAAGUUCUUUGGAAUAGGACAUCAUAGAGGGUGAGAAUCCCGUAUUUGACCAUUUCUUUCCAACUGUGUGAUACACUUUCAAAGAGUCGGAUUGUUUGGGAAUGCAGUCCAAAAUGGGUGGUAAAUUUCAUCUAAAGCUAAAUAUUGGCGAGAGACCGAUAGCGAACAAGUACCGUGAGGGAAAGAUGAAAAGAACUUUGAAAAGAGAGUUAAACAGUACGUGAAAUUGUCAAAAGGGAAGCGUUUGACACCAGUGUUGUUUUCUCGAAAAUCAAUUAAAAAUGGCCGGAUUUUGUGUUGUAUUGACUUUAUCAGCUUUCUGCACUUUUUUCUUGUCUUUUUUAAUGCACUUUUCGUUUAACAAGUCAACAUCAAUUUCUUUUGUUGUAAAAGAGUCAUUGGAAGGUGGCUUUUUCUUCGGAAAAAGUGUUUAUAGCCUUUGGCUUCUGCAAUCGGAGAGAUUGAGGUCUGCAGCGUAGAUCCCUCGGGGUUAGAUACAUUUGUGCUAAGCUAUAGUUCUUUAUAGACAACUUGUUGACUAUAAUCAAUCCUGUAACUUACUCGCUUAUGCUAUUUUACCUACGCUUAGGAUGUUGAUAGUCACAGCGUGUAC
rnacentral:rRNA from 1 species